CUAUGUAGCAAGGUUAAGUACUUAAGGUAUGGAGCCGAAGGGAAACCGAGUCUGAAAAGGGCGAAAAGUUGCAUGGUGUAGACCCGAAACCGGGUGACCUAUCCAUGGCCAGGUUGAAGCGAGAGGAAAAUCUCGUGGAGGACCGAACCACGUUGGUGUUGAAAAACCAUGGGAUGAGCUGUGGAUAGCGGAGAAAUUCCAAUCGAACUCGGAGAUAGCUGGUUCUCCUCGAAAUAGCUUUAGGGCUAGCGUC
rnacentral:rRNA from 1 species